GACGAACGCUGGCGGCGUGCUUAACACAUGCAAGUCACGGGGGGGUCGCAAGACUCAACCGGCGAACGGGUGCGUAACACGUGAGCGACCUGCCCCGGUCAGGGGGAUAGCCGGCCCAAC
rnacentral:rRNA from 1 species